GACGAACGCUGGCGGCGCGCUUGACACAUGCAAGUCGAACGGAAAGGCCUGCUUUCCCUUGUGGAUUGCGGGUACUCGAGUGGCGAACGGGUGAGUAACACGUGAGUGAUCUGCCCCCAACUUGGGUAUAAGCCUGGGAAACUGGGUCUAAUUCCCGAUAGGACUGCAGGGUGGUGCCUGUGGUGGAAAACGAUUUUCUAGUGGUUGGGGAUGAGCUCGCGGCCUAUCAGCUUGUUGGUGGGGUAAUGGCCUACCAAGGCGGCGACGGGUAGCCGGCCUGAGAGGGUGGACGGACACAUUGGGACUGAGAUACGGCCCAGACUCCUACGGGAGGCAGCAGUGGGGAAUAUUACACAAUGGGCGGAAGCCUGAUGCAGCGACGCCGCGUGGGGGAUGACGGCCUUCGGGUUGUAAACUCCUUUCGACCGCGAGGAAGCCACCUGGUUGGAAGGGUGGUGACGGUAGUGGUAGAAGAAGCACCGGCUAACUACGUG
rnacentral:rRNA from 1 species